AAGCCGGAUUAAUACCGCAUACGCCCUACGGGGGAAAGGGGGGGAUCGUAAGACCUCUCACUAUUGGAGCGGCCGAUGGCUGAUUAGCUAGUUGGUGGGGUAAAGGCCUACCAAGGCAACGAUCAGUAGCUGGUCUGAGAGGACGACCAGCCACACUGGGACUGAGACACGGCCCAGACUCCUACGGGAGGCAGCAGUGGGGAAUUUUGGACAAUGGGCGAAAGCCUGAUCCAGCAAUGCCGCGUGUGCGAAGAAGGCCUUCGGGUUGUAAAGCACUUUUGUCAGGGAAGAAAUCGUUCGGGCUAAUACCUCGGGCAGUUGACGGUACCUGAAGAAUAAGCACCGGCUAACUACGUGCCAGCAGCCGCGGUAAUACGUAGGGUGCAAGCGUUAAUCGGAAUUACUGGGCGUAAAGCGUGCGCAGGUGGUUCGUUAAGACAGUUGUGAAAUCCCCGGGCUUAACCUGGGAACUGCAAUUGUGACUGGCGGACUANAGUUUGGCAGAGGGGGGUGGAAUUCCUGGUGUAGCAGUGAAAUGCGUAGAUAUCAGGAGGAACACCGAUGGCGAAGGCAGCCCCCUGGGGCCAUGACUGACACCUCAUGCACG
rnacentral:rRNA from 1 species